UCCUAGUAAUCAUAAAUAGCUCAGUCAUUAGAGCAUGAAACUCUUAAUCUCAGGGUCCUGGGUUCGAGUCUUACAUUAGGUGAA